rnacentral:rRNA from 1 species
GGGUUGUGAGGUUAAGCGACUAAGCGUACACGGUGGAUGCCCUGGCAGUCAGAGGCGAUGAAGGACGUGCUAAUCUGCGAUAAGCGUCGGUAAGGUGAUAUGAACCGUUAUAACCGGCGAUUUCCGAAUGGGGAAACCCAGUGUGUUUCGACACACUAUCAUUAACUGAAUCCAUAGGUUAAUGAGGCGAACCGG